CGCGUAGGUGGUAGUGAAAGUCUAUGGUGGAAUCUUAGGGCUUAACCCUAAAAACUGCCUUGGAAACUUCAUUACUUGAGUCAGUGAGGGGAGGGUAGAAUUCCUGGUGUAGCGGUGAAAUGCGUAGAUAUCAGGAGGAAGGCCGGUGGCGAAGGCGGCCCUCUGGCGCUGAACUGACGCUGAGGCGCGAAAGCGUGGGUAGCAAACAGGAUUAGAUACCCUGGUAGUCCACGCCCUAAACGGUGGGUACUAGGUGUAGGGCUCGUAAGGGUUCUGUGCCGAAGGGAAACCAUUAAGUACCCCGCCUGGGGAGUACGGCCGCAAGGUUGAA
rnacentral:rRNA from 1 species